rnacentral:lncRNA from 1 species
AAGAAACCAGCAAAGACUCAUUAUAUUGUCAUGAAAAAUAUGAUCAUAAACCUGCAAUUCAUCGGAUCCCAACUUGCAUACAACAACGAAGAUUACAUCGGACAGAUCACCGCGGGAAUCGCGGUGAACUUUGUUAUAUAUAUCCCUAAUAAUAAAGCGUCGACUGCUUCUGUCGUCCGUCGUUGUGGUGCUUUUACAUAAAAGUCCCUGAUGUUUUUGCUAAUUGACCCGCAGUCCACAUAAUAAGUCAACAUAAAUCGGUAUGGGCGAGAUAAGAGGAAAAACAGUUGCCUCCCGAUCCCAUCUCGACCUCCAGGCUCCAGCGCGCC